rnacentral:misc_RNA from 1 species
AAUUCUCAACCUUUCUGGCUUUUACAAAGUUGGUCAGGCUUGGAUUGUGGGGGUUGCUGGCUUCUAAAGUCAGCUCUUCUAAAAUACAUUAGCAAGAUCAUUGCUGCUCAUCACUGGUAUGAUAAUUAUCUAUACUAUUGAUGAGUCGGUUUCCUUUAUGGAGGAUUUUGCUCCUAGCUGUCUUCAUUAAGACAAUACUUGACCA